rnacentral:lncRNA from 1 species
UCAAAGUGCUGGUGUGUACUGGACACUAUGUUUGAAAACUUUUAGGCAAGAGGAGUGCAAGAAGCAGACAUAACUGCAUUUAUUUCCAUAAUUCCCCAUUUGAAUGGCCUUUUCUUUUUGCUUAGACAAUGCCUACGCCUAGCCACAGCAGCUCCUUCAUACAGACUUCGCAAGCCAAGAGGCCGUGGAGGCAAAUGCAGGCAGCCAGCACACCCCGAACAGCCACCUUGACUGCGGGUGUGUCACCCUAGUCACCAAGGAAACAUUUGAGGGAAAGCGACAGGCAAUGUGAACAGCCACUUCUCCAUGUAAACGAUACACUUUCUCUCGGAUUACUCCUACGCCUCGCCACGCCAGCACACUUGUGCACAAAGAUGCCACGGAGGCACGUGCAGGUCAGAGGCAAGAAGCAGUGGCACUGGUGUCGACAUUCACCCAAUUUCUUUUUCUUACACCGAGGCAGCCAGCACACCUCGAACAGCCACCUUGACUGUGGGUGUGUCAGUAGAUUCCUGUUGUACAUAUGCUCAUAAUAAACUUCAGUAAAUUUGAACUUGAUAAUAAACUUGAAGGCAAAUGGGA